rnacentral:lncRNA from 1 species
GUGGAUUAGUCUUGGUACUGCUGACAGAUUGUCUGUUCCUAAUGGCACUACAAAAUUUUUCUACAGGUGAAUGUUUUGGAAUGCUACUUAUCUUCAGUUUAAGCUCACCACUACAUCUGGGGCUAGAAGGAGCUUUGUCUCAGGCCAAGAUGGCAGGGGAAGUACUUUAUGGCUGUGGUGGAUUGAUUGGUCUGUCAAGCCACCUGCACUAUACAGAAUUGCUUAUGAUUAUGGGCUAAACUUAAUGAUCCAGAGUUUAUCAGGUGUGUGAAGGAAAAUGAACUUUACCAAAGCAUCUGUGUUUGGUGAGAGAGGAAGUGGACAGGUCUGGAGCUGGCAAAGGAGAGAGCAGAGUGAUGGGAGAGAGAACUCUCUGACCAGAAAAAGUGAAAGUUGUAGAGUGUUGUUCAUUUCAAGUUUUAAAAGCUGUUGAUGUUCAGAAUCACUAAUGAUUUAUGGCUGG